AUUGAACGCUGGCGGCAGGCCUAACACAUGCAAGUCGAGCGGAUGAAGGGAGCUUGCUCCUGGAUUCAGCGGCGGACGGGUGAGUAAUGCCUAGGAAUCUGCCUGGUAGUGGGGGAUAACGUCCGGAAACGGGCGCUAAUACCGCAUACGUCCUGAGGGAGAAAGUGGGGGAUCUUCGGACCUCACGCUCUCAGAUGAGCCUAGGUCGGAUUAGCUAGUUGGUGGGGUAAAGGCCUACCAAGGCGACGAUCCGUAACUGGUCUGCGAGGAUGAUCAGUCACACUGGAACUGGGACACGGUCCAGACUCCUACGAGAGGCAGCAGUGGGGAAUAUUGGACAAUGGGCGAAAGCCUGAUCCAGCCAUGCCGCGUGUGUGAAGAAGGUCUUCGGAUUGUAAAGCACUUUAAGUUGGGAGGAAGGGCAGUAAGUUAAUACCUUGCUGUUUUGACGUUACCAACAGAAUAAGCACCGGCUAACUUCGUG
rnacentral:rRNA from 1 species